GUGCUCGCUUCGGCAGCACAUAUACUACAACUGGAAUGAUACAGAGGAAAUUAGCAUGGCCCCUGAGCAAGGAUGACACACAAAUUUGUGACAUGUUCCAUAUUAAA
rnacentral:snRNA from 1 species